rnacentral:rRNA from 1 species
GACGAACGCUGGCGGCGUGCUUAACACAUGCAAGUCGAACGGAAAGGCCCUGCUUUUGUGGGGUGCUCGAGUGGCGAACGGGUGAGUAACACGUGAGUAACCUGCCCUUGACUUUGGGAUAACUUCAGGAAACUGGGGCUAAUACCGGAUAGGAGCUCCUGCUGCAUGGUGGGGGUUGGAAAGUUUCGGCGGUUGGGGAUGGACUCGCGGCUUAUCAGCUUGUUGGUGGGGUAGUGGCUUACCAAGGCUUUGACGGGUAGCCGGCCUGAGAGGGUGAACGGCAACAUUGGGACUGAGAUACGGCCCAGACUCCUACGGGAGGCAGCAGUGGGGAAUAUUGCACAAUGGGCGGAAGCCUGAUGCAGCAACGCCGCGUGCGGGAUGACGGCCUUCGGGUUGUAAACCGCUUUCGCCUGUGACGAAGCGUGAGUGACGGUAAUGGGUAAAGAAGCACCGGCUAACUACGUG